CAGGUAAUGCCAUUCCAGGUGCAUAUCCAGCAGCUCCGAAUGCUGCUUGGACGAAGAUGACUUGCACUCAAUAUGGCCAUGGAUGCAUGCCGCUGCAGUCUUGCCCUUUGAAGUUGAGGCUGACACUCACGGGAUGCGGUGCAGGUUCUGUCUGCUGCAACAUCCUAAAAACCAAAAGCUGCUCCCAGGUUGGCGGUCAAUGUCUCAAACGUUGCCGAGGAUAUGGAGUUCGGAACCACUACGCCAAAUGCGACAUAAAAGGGCUAAAGUGCUGCGUAUACGUGCAAUAGUAGGGGUCUCAAAAGCCAAUGGCACGCGCAGAGUAAUCCUUGAUGUCAUGGGCAGUUUACCACUGCUAUGAUAGAUACGGAGCAAUAAAAUGGUGGAGGAAA